GACGAACGCUGGCGGCGUGCCUAAUACAAGCAAGUCGAACGAGAGCAACCGGUGCUUGCACUGGUCAAUCUAGUGGCGAACGGGUGAGUAACACGUGGGUAACCUGCCCAUCAGAGGGGGAUAACAUCCGGAAACGGAUGCUAAAACCGCAUAGGUCUUCGAACCGCAUGGUUUGAAGAGGAAAAGAGGCGCAAGCUUCUGCUGAUGGAUGGACCCGCGGUGCAUUAGCUAGUUGGUGAGGUAACGGCUCACCAAGGCCGUGAUGCAUAGCCGACCUGAGAGGGUGAUCGGCCACAUUGGGACUGAGACACGGCCCAGACUCCUACGGGAGGCAGCAGUAGGGAAUCUUCCGCAAUGGACGCAAGUCUGACGGAGCAACGCCGCGUGAGUGAAGAAGGUUUUCGGAUCGUAAAACUCUGUUGUUAGAGAAGAACAAGUGCUAGAGUAACUGUUAGCGCCUUGACGGUAUCUAACCAGAAAGCCACGGCUAACUACGUG
rnacentral:rRNA from 1 species